AGAAAAAAAGACACUUGUUGAGGUUCCUGGGACUGAUGUGGGAGCAGUAAGGUGAAUGAACUGACCAAGAGCCUUUCAGGAAGGAGCACAACACAAGGACACAGACGUAGAAAAAAAAGCCCAGGUGGUCGAUCAAUCUAAGGCUCCUCUUCUCCAGUGGCCACAGCCAAUCGCAUGGCCACAGACAGGUGGUCGGUGACACCAGCUAAUUGGGUGACGAAACUGAACUCCUCCAUUUCCUGCAGGCCACGCAACGCGCGAACACACCUGUUCAGUCAUCGAGCAGACAGAGAGCAACGUUAGCAUCGAUUCGGGGCUGUGUAUCUGGCCAUUUAACUACAAGUUUCCAGUCCUGCUGCAGGCCCUCGUCGCUGUAGAGGAUGUAGUCGAUCCGCCGUCCGUUGCCCUUCAGCGGGAUCUUCCUCCCCUUCUGACUGCUGGCGGGACACUGGCUCUUACUGGGAGGGAACACCAGGUACUCCUUCCUACCCUCCUCGUUCUCCAUCACUCUGACAAAGACAAAGAAGAUGGGAGAGGAUAAGCAGACUGGAGUUUAGACACUGAGACAGACGGAUGCACAGGGGACGAGGGAUAUACUCUUGAAGUUGCAUUAU